CACCUGGUUGAUCCUGCCAGUAGUCAUAUGCUUGUCUCAAAGAUUAAGCCAUGCAUGUCUAAGUAUAAGCUUUAAACGGCGAAACUGCGAAUGGCUCAUUAAAACAGUUAUAGUUUAUUUGGUGAUCGAUUACUAUUUGGAUAACCGUAGUAAUUCUAGAGCUAAUACAUGCGUCAAGGCCCGACUUCGGAAGGGCUGCGUUUAUUAGAUACAGAACCAACCUAGGCUCCGCCUAGUCCUUGUUGGUGAUUCAUAAUAACCCGGCGAAUCGCACGGCUUGUCCGGCGAUGGACCAUUCAAGUUUCUGACCUAUCAGCUAUGGACGGUAGGGUAUUGGCCUACCGUGGCGUUGACGGGUAACGGGGAAUUAGGGUUCGAUUCCGGAGAGGGAGCCUGAGAACGGCUACCACAUCUAAGAAGGCAGCAGGCGCGCAAAUUACCCAAUCCUGAUACAGGGAGGUAGUGACAAGAAAUAACAUACAGGCA
rnacentral:ncRNA from 1 species